CGUGAAUUGUACACUUAUAGAAAUAAAAUCGCUUAAGAGACAAAGUUGAAUUCAAUGAAUGUUAUUAUAACCAUUUAAUGCCAAACCAUAAUACCUAUCACAAUGAACACACUUAAAGAUAAGCAUGAAUAGUUUCUAGAUUAAUCAUCCUAUUUUGAACAAACUAAACUCAAAUGAAAUAAUGAAACAGUGAUAAUAGAUCAAAAAUUAAAAGAAACAGGACAUCCCCUCCAAAUACUCUCCAUUAACACCAUUUUCUUAGAAAAUUUGACGAUAGCUUCCAAGCUUUAUUUCUUCCAACCAUAAACCUACAUCCUGACAAAACAAGAGGAGUAACAAAAUGUCAGUCAUUGUUGCAUUCCCUCGUGGACGUAUUUUAUUCCUCAACCUCGUGUUUUUUCGUCUCCCUGUUAGAGAUUUGAGUAAAUGUCCAUUUAGAAGCUCUAAUUAACAAGGAAAGAAACAAAAAUAGAUAUACCAUCUAAUGCAUCUAAUAUCAGAUGCUGCUUACUUUUAGAGGCAAUGCACUAAGCCCAAAGUCAGAAACUUGUAAAAUGAUCCAAAUACAUACAAAGCACAAAUAUGAAAACCACCGACUUGUAGUGCUUGGUUUAGUCAGGCUCAACGCGAGGGACUGCACCUUGUGGCGCGAGGUUGGGGUUUGGCAUUGGGAUUUGUCCAGCAAGCUCCUGUCCCCCGAGCUACAUGUUUUGUCCUCCUCUUUCCAACUUGGCGCAUAAGCCUAAAAUUCUAGAUAUUUCCUUGAUAUAUAAUGUAAAAUGGAUGAAACAACUCAUGAGUCUUGUAUUACUAAGCUAGUUACUUUGUAUGUAUGAGGUGUUACAAAAUGAUCUUGUAGAUAUUGUGGACCAAAACUUGACUCUAGAAGGUAAUAAUAAAAUUGACAGACUUUGGUGAAUGGUUGAGACAUAAAGAAUUUACUGUUAAAUCAACAUGGAACUACAUAAAGACACAUUGAACAUGGGAAUGAUAUGUAUAUAUUCUAUAUUUGGAUAACUAAUCAUGCCAUUCAAAUAUCUUUCUCUAUGUGAAGAGCAUGACAAUUUAAGAUUUCAAUUGACGAUAAGUUGUUAUUAAAGUGUAGGUGUUGCACUGAUUCAAAUUAGGUUUUUAUGAAAUUGCCAACAGUUUGCAGAUAAAGUAAAGUUUGAAAAUAUAAAUUGUUGAACACAAAUUCAUCAAUAUACAAGAAGAAGGGUUUGAAGCAAAGCAAAAUUAUAUGUUUCAUUGCUAAUUUUAAGCAGUAACAGGAGAGAGCUAACCACCAUGACUGAUAUAUCAAAUUUUUGAUCAAUCAACUAAACCCCCACCCUUAAGUCAGACGAAAAUGGGAAAAAGUACUUGAAUACGAGUAGUGGCAUACGAAAAUGGAUUCAAGAAGCAUAGCAAUGUCUCUCCUCAUCUAUCUCGCCACCAUUUCGAAUUUGAAAAUAAAAAAUUCCUCCCAGGACAGAGGAAUAUGCUUGAUUCUCAUACCAAUCCAACCAAUUGCUAUUGGAAUUGUUGACGUCGCUCGCCACUGCCGUUUAGAAUCGAUUGUUGCCGCUCGAAUUGCUGAAGACGUCGUUUGGCUGCUGCGAAAUUGUCAUCUGCUUCUAAGAUGAAGCUUGUGAAC
rnacentral:lncRNA from 1 species